rnacentral:rRNA from 1 species
CCUACGGGUGGCAGCAGUAGGGAAUCUUUCCCAAUGGGGGAAACCCUGAUGCUGCAACGCCGCGUGGGGGAUGGAGGUUUUCGGAUUUUUAACUCCUUUUGUUAGAGUAGAUAAUUACGGUUACUAACGAAUAAGCACCGGCUAACGCCGUCCCAGCAGCAGCGGUAAGACGGAGGGUGCAAGCGUUACUCUGAAACACUGGGCGUAAAGAGCGCGUAGGCGGGAUAGCAAGUCAGAUGUGAAAUCCUAGGGCUUAACCAUAGAACUGCAUAUGAAACUGUUAUUCUAGAGUAUGGGAGAGGUAGGUGGAAUUCUUGGUGUAGGAGUAAAAUCCGUAGAGAUCAAGAGGAAUACUCGUGGCGAAGGCGACCUGCUAGAACAUAACUGACGCUGAUGCGCGAAAGCGUGGGGAGCAAACAGGAUUAGAUACCCCUGUAGUC